UCUUCGUAACGGUUAUUUUUGGGCAACCUUAGUUUCAAUAUUACUGUCAGGUUUUUCAACAUCAUACGUACAAUUAUGUUGCAGCUUUUGUAGUUUUUUUCGUUACUUAAUCAAUGGAAGGUCGAUCGCUUCACUGCUUGUAUAACACGUAUUCGUGUGACAACAACAGAGUGGCCGGGGUGGCGGUGUCGUUCGCUCUUUAUUCUAUGGUUUAACUUCGUGAGAGCCAAGAGCACGUGCGUAAACAUCAUGGCAUUGAGGUACCAACUGCAACUUAUGGGCAGGCUUCGCAGCGUUUUGCCAGCAUGCGGUGCCUUUGUGACAACGCUGAAUCAACCAGUACACCACCAGCCCGUGCUGCAUAAUGCACAAAGGCAACCGCUUAUUAUCAGCUACUGCUGUUAUGCGAAAGGAGCAAAUCGACCCAAGCACUCUGCAAAGGAAACCAAGCCUAAAAUUACACUUAACGAUGAUGAACUUGCGGAAGUGGUCCGUAUUCAGAAUUUUCGAUCUGAAAUGCAAAAGGUGGUGCAUCGAUUGCAGGAAAGCUUCAUCAAACAUCUUAGUUUGAACUCUGCUGCAGGAAGCAUUGACACAAUACCAGUGCAUGUUGAUGGACAGGAGUAUAGCCUGGCAGAGGUGGCCCAAAUAGCCAAAAAGAAUCCCCAGCUUAUUGUGCUUCAUAUGGCGAGUUUCCCUGAUGCUAUCAAGGCAACUAUACAGGCCAUUCAGACAUCUGGGUUGAACAUUUCUACUCAGCAGGAUGGAACGACCGUGUUCUGCCACCUUCCCAAGAUCACUAGAGAGCACAGAGAAUCACUAGCUAAAAAUGCAAAGACCUUAUUUAACAAGGCAAAAGAGGAUCUGCUCAGUGUAGAGCGAAAGUAUAUCAAAGAGAUCCAGAAAAAUAAGCAGAACGUCUCAGAAGAUCUCUCAUACAAUGCCACAUUACAGGUGAAAAUGGAAGUAGAAAAUACAAUCAACAAAGCUGAUGCCAUGACAAAAGCCAAACAGCAGGACUUGUUGGGAGGAAAAUAGUCCCUUAGAACGCUACAAAGAGAAAUAAUCAUUUAAAACAAGAACGGAUUAUACAUGAAAGAGGAAACGUGCUAAAGGCCAUGUGGCCUGACAGAGGCUCCUGCUCUUAAGCGCCUUUCGUAUACAUGAUAAAUCAAUGCAGGAAAAAAGCAAAUAUAGCACAACAAAGAGUGAGUGUGAUGCAGAAAAUACAAAUAAACAAGAUAGUUUGUACAUUAUACAAUUACUAUGCGAAAAGACAUUCAAUGCUUCAAAUUUUUUGUUUGUACAUUCAUAUUACAGCACAGAUUAAAACGUACAUAUAUAGUGCAUAAAAAAAUUUAGUGCAACAGUAUUUUGUGUAUAAGAAUUUGAUAAUGUAAGCUUUGAUAAUGCAAUACCAAAAUGUGGGAUUGCAGUAUCUACAAAUAAAUAAAUAAGAGAAAGGAUUUUGUACAUUGUUUAAAGUGAGGUGCAUAAAAAUCAAUUUUUUUUUUUCAGCGAUGUUUAGUAGCCUAGGUAUUUGAUAGUUUAAAUCCUUAUGUCCGUAGUUAGUAAACGUAAAUGGUAUUGUUUCGAUUUGAUUAUGUAAUGGAUAUCGAGGAGGAGAAAACAACGUAGUCUGUGUUUUUUUAUAUGUAAGAGUAAUCCAUAUUAGAAAACUUAAUUUGCUCGGGUCAGUAAAUGUUUGCUAAAAAAAUUUUGCACGGGUAGGUCAUGUGACCUACCGUGGUAGUUUUCAAAAAUUCGGACUACUCGUUUUUGCAGGCUUAAUAACUUCUCAUAGUUUCUUGCUGUCAUUGUUCCCCAAUUGAAGGUUAAAUUAAGUUAGCUACGAGUAAAAAAAGGGCAUAGUAUAUUGCUUUCUUUAGCCAUAAUGGUAUUAGAUCACCAAUUUUAUAUAUACCACCUACUACUUUACUAAGAUCAUUGCUCAGCUUGUUGACAUGAUUGUCCCAGGAGAUUUCUCCCGAAACCAUACCCCCAACAGCUUUUGCGUUGUUACCUGUUCUAACCUCUUUGCUUGAAGUAGAACAGUUAUAUUAACAGGGAAUGGCUUAUUUAUUGGUUCAAAUAUUAAAUACUUUGUUUUGUUGACAUUCAAUUGUAGUGCAAUUGUACAGCCAUUCAGAUAAUAAAUUCAAGUAAUCAUUUAUUUCUUUUUCUAAGCAUUGCAGGGAAGAAUUUGCAAAGAAAAGAUUAGUAUCAUCCACGUACAUGUUGAUAUUAGGUGAGAAAGAAAUGUUAGGAAGGUCAUUAAUUUAAAGGUUAAAUACAGGACCAAGUAUGGAUGCCCGUGGCACACCAGUCUGUAUUUUGAGAAGUGAGGAAGUUGCCUGAUUAAAUGAAACAAACUGGUAACAAUCAUAUCCCCAGUAAUUUAAUAUAAAACUAUUUUCAUUGAACAAUUCUGGAUUUCGAAAUUCCCACCAGUAGGAGUGGUUAGAUAACCUUUGAGCGAUACAAAAUCGUGAGUACCAGACGUCACGGAGUUCACAUGAACCACCAAAGCGCUGACGAAUAUGAACUCGCCCGUCUGCACAAUUUCACACGUGCAGCCACUUUCAUUGACACAGGAGUUAGGUGGGAGAUGCACACUUCCGUCUCCCAGCCAUGCUCUGGCAAAUGCAUGUGCUGUUGCUCUGAAAUUGCGUUGUCACCAGUGUUUUAACAUCACACUAUUUUGCUCUUAACAAUGACAUUUUCAUGAUGGCUAUCGCAACAAGUAUGCAAAAGGGAGCCACGUCUAAAUAAUAGACUUUAAAAUUGAAGUAUUACCUUUUCGCCAUCUGCUGUCAGUCAUACUUCAUGAAAGCGUUCCUCAUAAGCAUACAAAGGUUAUGCUGUAGUCAGUUUAACCUCUAAAUUUGGUGUCUACACUCCUUUAAAGGCCCCUCACCAGGUCUGGCCAUUUUGAGCUGACAAGCGCAGAUCACACAUUGCGUGAUAACGAUCGUGUCUGCAAAGUAUUACAUCGCAACGCGCCACGGAAAGAUCUGAAAUUUCAAACCGAACGCCAUUUUUCCUUCUCCUCGCGGCCGCCACACUCCAAGCCAGAGGAUUAUGUACUCGUGUGCCUGCGCCUACGUACUGGUGUCUGCAAUGUUACGUCGCUUGUGGUCACUCGUGACUUCAAGAAUUAUUCAAGACAACAUCUGUUAUCUGUGCGAUCUGGUGCUUGAAUUGACGAAUUGAAGUUUAGAGAAAUAAUGAAACACAAACGGAAUGUCUGCGUGUUUUUUGUUUUACUUCACACCGAAGCAAGAGAGACGUACUUCCACUUCAUCUGCUUGUUCUCAAGGUCGUGCAGUCAUGUGCGCAGGUACUGAAACUAUGCCAUUUUCUACCGUGUUCCAGUGCAUGAUCAUGCUCUGUGAUCUGUUUGUUCUGCCUUAGUAUUCAUGUAGCACUGAAUUAUACUGCUAGUCAUGUUUCCUUGUGUACAGCGCACAAAAUCGUGUGCUGCGUGAACGAGACAACAGCUCAUGCGCGACGCCGUCAGCAGAAGUGUGUAGCGCUGAAAUAUAAACAAAAAAGCGAGGAGAAAAAAAAUGAAGGCGGGGCCUGUGACGUAUGCGUCCUUGCGAUCCUCGAGGUCCGGUAUGGGAGAAUGCAGGGAAGGAAUUUCACUUGCGGAGGCUAGACUGGGCGAGUGGAGAGAGCAUCUUACUUGGCAGUAGAGGCCGCCUGCUGAAAUCACGAGUUCGCAGCACUGAAAUAUUUCUAUCUCGGCUAUUAAUGAGCCAAUUUCAAAACUUUUUGCAGCAGAACGCUUCUUAGAGAACAUGUAACAACUUCCAGCGUAUAACCAAAAUUUGCUGUGGGGCCUGGUGAGGGGCUCCUUAAGAAAAAAAAAAAAAAAAAGAAA